rnacentral:rRNA from 1 species
UCCGUAGGUGGAUAAUUAAGUCAGAGGUGAAAUCCUGCAGCUCAACUGUAGAAUUGCCUUUGAUACUGGUUAUCUUGAGUCAUUAUGAAGUGGUUAGAAUGUGUAGUGUAGCGGUGAAAUGCAUAGAUAUUACACAGAAUACCGACUGCGAAGGCAGAUCACUAAUAAUGUACUGACACUGAGGGACGAAAGCGUGGGGAGCGAACAGGAUUAGAUACCCUGGUAGUCC